rnacentral:rRNA from 1 species
UUCGGGUUGUAAAACCUCUUUCAGCACAGACGAAGCGCAAGUGACGGUAUGUGCAGAAGAAGGACCGGCCAACUACGUGCCAGCAGCCGCGGUAAUACGUAGGGUCCGAGCGUUGUCCGGAAUUAUUGGGCGUAAAGGGCUCGUAGGCGGUCUGUCGCGUCGGGAGUGAAAACCAGGUGCUUAACACCUGGCCUGCUUUCGAUACGGGCAGACUAGAGGUACUCAGGGGAGAAUGGAAUUCCUGGUGUAGCGGUGAAAUGCGCAGAUAUCAGGAGGAACACCGGUGGCGAAGGCGGUUCUCUGGGAGUAUCCUGACGCUGAGGAGCGAAAGUGUGGGGAGCGAACAGGAUUAGAUACCCUGGUAGUCCACACCGUAAACGUUGGGCGCUAGGUGUGGGAUCCAUUCCACGGGUUCCGUGCCGCAGCUAACGCAAUUAAGCGCCCCGCCUGGGGAGUACGGCCGCAAGGCUAAAACU